AACUGAAGUUUUGUGUGUCAAUUUUCAGUGUGAAAAAACAGUUGAUGUGAAGAAAAGUAAAUUCUGUGAAGCUGAUGUCUCCAGUGACCUUCGAAAAGAAGUAGAAAAUCAUUAUACGCUCUCUUUACCUGAAGAUUUCUAUCACUUCUGGAAGUUCUGUGAAGAACUUGAUUCUGAAAAACCAGCUGGGAUUCUCCUGAUGAACUUCCUGUAUAUGUUGGUAUAAAUGAAGCAAAGAAAAAUUGUAUAAUUGUUCCAAAUGGAGAUAAUGUAUUUGCUGCAGUCAACUGACCUCAAGAGAAUUUGCAAGACAAUAGUUGAGGCUGCAAGUGAUGAUGAGAGACGAAAAGCUUUUGCUCCCAUUCAGGAAAUGAUGACUUUUGUGCAGUUUGCUAAUGAUGAAUGUGAUUAUGGUAUGGGGCUUGAGUUGGGAAUGGA
rnacentral:lncRNA from 1 species